rfam:Hordeum vulgare subsp. vulgare, WGS project CAJW01000000 data, contig: morex_contig_1559228
UAUAUACUUCCUCCGUAUCAAAAUUUUUGUCUUAGAUUUGUUUAGAAAUGAAUAUAUCUAAAUACUAAAACGUGAUUAAAUACAUUCAUAUCUAGACAAAUCUAAGGCAAGAAUUUUGGAACGGAGAGAGUAUGUA